rnacentral:lncRNA from 1 species
GAUUAUUCUGUGUCCUAUCCUUUCUGUAUAUUCCCUAGAACAUAGUAUUUACUGCUGUUUUUCAUUCAAAUCCUACUUGCCUUUUUACGUGUUUGCAACAACUCUUCAGAUAUUCUACGAAAGGUUUCCAGACUCCCUUAUAGAUGGCCUCUUCUUGAUCCCUGAUUUUCAUAGUUACAUUUGCCGGUUCGGCGUAUUCACUCAAUUUUUACAGAGGGUACUAUUUCAAUAAGCUCUAGAGGUGGAGGGUAGCCCUGAACAAGUCCAUAAUUUCACAGUGUGUGAGGCUGAUGGCGUCAGAGAUUGGAAGCAUGGCGUUUGUGAGGUUUACGCAUUGCCAGCCAUAGCCAAUUGCUCAACUGGAAGCAUCUGAUCCUGGUUGCUAGAAUAGCGACAGAUAGCUGGGCAGCGCCUCUUGUCUCAGGCAGGCUUGCAACCAUCCUCUUCCUUCAGAAAUCUCAUUGUUUAGGGGAGCUGGCAUUCGCUUUUCUGACAUACUGCCAGCUGUGAUUGCAUGCCUAUUCAGGCGAUGAAGCACAGGAGUAUCCAGACCCAUCCUGUGACCUUCAUGGAUGGAUGAAACCACUCCUAAAUUUUGUUGCUUAGCACAUUCAUUUAACUGAGAAACCGAACAAGUGCGGUUGGGUGGGCAGGCCCAGUGGCAGAACGUCUGCUUUGCAUGCAAAAGGUCUCAGGUUUGAUCCCUGACAUCUCCCAGGUAGGACUGAGAAAAGAGUGCCUAAACCCCUUGAGAGCCACUGGAAACUUUGGUUUCCAGUUGUUUUUGGACUAUGAUUCUCAUCAUUUCUGACCACUGGUCCUGCUAGCUGGAGAUGAUGGGGGUUGUAGUCUAAAAACAGCUGGAGACCCAAGUUUGGGAAACCCAGAUGUAGACAAUCCAUGACCAAUGGUCUGACUCUGUAUAAGGCAGCUUCAUGCAUUAAUUUGAGUUGCCAUGCUUUUGUUUCUUGAGUUCCCAUGCAUUGCUUUGGUGUUGUUGUUUAGUCGUUUAGUCGUGUCCGACUCUUCGUGACCCCAUGGACCAGAGCACGCCAGGCACUUCUGUCUUCCACUGCCUCCCGCAGUUUGGUCAAACUCAUGCUGGUAGCUUCGAGAACACUAUCCAACCAUCUCAUCCUCUGUCGUCCCCUUCUCCUUGUGCCCUCCAUCUUUCCCAACAUCAGGGUCUUUUCCAGGGAGUCUUCUCUUCUCAUGAGGUGGCCAAAGUAUUGGAGCCUCAGCUUCAAGAUCUGUCCUUCCAGUGAGCACUCAGGGCUGAUUUCCUUCAGAAUGGAUAGGUUUGAUCUUCUUGCAGUCCAUGGGACUCUCAAGAGUCUCCUCCAGCACCAUAAUUCAAAAGCAUCAAUUCUUUGGUGAUCAGCCUUCUUUAUGGUAUUGCUUUGGUACUUCCCUUUAAAUAUUCUCUCUCUCUCAAACGCCGCAAAAAAGUACAUCUCAAGAGCCCAAGUGCUGGUCUGCACAAAACAAAAGGGAAUGUUAGAGCUGUGGACUUUACCACGUCAGUCUGCAGGUGGGGGAAUUGCAUUCUUCAAUGUUCUCUGCCUCUUUAAUCCCAGACUCCUUGCAGGCAGUAGACUUACACAACAAGGUGUAAGGCUCAGGGCAACACUCUCUCUGAUGUGCUGAUUUAGUGCAUGCAGAGAACUUUUCAAGUGUAAACAAGCAAACAAACAAACAAACAAACAAACAAACAAACAAACAAACCUCCCCCUGCUGUGAAGUGGCACAGGCUCUGAAUCCCACCGCUUCAAUUUUUAAAAUAAUGUAAAUUUUAAAAAAAACCUAGUGUGGCACAAAGCCCUGCCCAUGCUUUUCUUUUGUAUAGCUUUUUGACCUUCAUGGAAAGAAAAAUGCAUUUUUGCCCACCCUCUUUUAUUUAUUUAUUUUGAGUUUUCGCCCUCUAGUUUUAUGGAUCCGGGCAGGUGGCAGGGUUUCCCCUUCUCAGUCCCCUGUUUCCAUCAUUCCUGUAUGAGCACUGUGAGGUAGGCACUCGACUUCAGAGCAGGAGAGUUGAUGGCGCAACGAGAGAGCUGCCACUUCUGCAAUCCUCUUGAUUUCAGAGGGGAAGUGUUAUGUAAUGUACUGAUUGCUAAUUUGGCCAAGGGUAUAGACAGGGAUACGGGUGGCACUGUGGGUUAAACCACAGAGCCUAGGACUUGCCAAUCAGAAGGUCAGCGGUUCGAAUCCCCGUGACGGGGUGAGCUCCCGUUGCUCGGUCCCAGCUCCUGCCAACCUAGCAGUUCGAAAGCACGUCAAAGUGCAAGUAGAUAAAUAGGUACCACACCAGCGGGAAGGUAAACGUUUCCAUGCACUGCUCUGGUUCACCAGAAGCGGCUUAGUCAUGCUGGCCACAUGACCCGGAAGCUGUACGCCGGCUCCCUCGGCCAAUAAAGCGAGAUGAGUGCCGCAAUCCCAGAGUCGGCCACGACUGGACCUAAUGGUCAGGGGUCCCUUUACCCUUUACCUUUAUAGACAGCCAGAUCCUAUGCAUGUUGGUUCAGAAGCAAGUCCCAAUGGGUUUGAUGGGGCUUAAACUGUCAGAUAAAUGUGGAGAGGAUUGCAACUUUAGAGUGUUGAUGGCUGGCUGGGCUGGGAAGGUUAUUUGGUUUGCCUAUCCAUCCGUCCUCUGCUGAUGCUUCUGUUGGUUUUAACCCCUUUUUAAUUUCAACAGUUUUGAACAACCGUGGCUUUCAUAGCCUCAGAAUUUGGGAGAAAGGGCCUUCGUGCCGUCUUGUUCUUUGCCCCAGUUUGUCUUCUGGUUUUCAGCUUUCCAAGAGGCAUGAGUGGUCUGUUACAAUUGAUCCCUGGUGGGGAGGAAGAGAAUUUAUAUUUCAUGAGGUCCAUACUACAGUGGAUUCCAUUCAGGAAAAGAGAGAGGAGACCGCAUGAAACCAAACCUGAGAGCCCACUUGAAUGGUAGAGAUGAGCCAGAGACUGGUUUGUUUUUGUCUUGGAACUCUGUAUUUUCAAUUUGGAACAGCACAUCUCUGUUCUGAAAUAUAUGGUUUGUGAAGGGCACUGUUCUGAGAAUAGCAGAUCUUUUGCACAGGCCCACCUGAUGCUCUGAGCAUCUUCUGUCUGGAUGAAUAAGGGUGGUGGUGGGAGAGGGAAGGGGGAAAUAAGUGGUUUUCUUAAUGGCCAGUAAAUUGAUUGAUAUUUGCUGCUACUAAUCUGUGUAUUUUUCUAUUUAUUUGGUCAUACUGACCACUGAGGAGCUAAAAUAUAUUUAAGCCUUUAUCCUGUAUGUUUCAUUUAAUGUUUGUGUCAUUAACCUUGAAGGCAUCCAUAUCAUUCCUCUCUUUUUUUAAAAAAAGUUCUCAUCUUACUAAGUAUUUAUUUUGUUGACAUGUGCUUUUCCUCCCUGCUCUCCUCCCCCAAUAUGCGUGUUAGAUGCAAAAAUGAACUUUUCACACAGUAGAACCUCAGACGAUAUGAACCUCCAGAAAUUGGAAAGGAAUUGUCAAGCAAACAUUCCCUGCUAAUAGCAACCAGUCAUUCAGGGUAGGAGUGAUGUGGUUGCCCAUGACUGAGGACCACUCAUGAUAUCAAAACUUGUGAUUUCAUCCUCAUGGGAAAUGGCGGGGCAGAGUUGUUUUGACAUUGCUGAUUUCCCCGUGUGUGUCUGUGUGUAUGCAUAUAUCUGCCCAUUCUCUCUUACAGCUCUUGACCAUCUCACAUUGAUCUCUUAUUCAAUAUUACUUUUGCAGGCUUCCUUCAUCUUGCCUCUGCAAAAUAGAAAAUAGUGUGGAUUGGUAUUCACAUAGAUCUUCCGUUUCAUUGCUAGGGUGGGCAAGUGCUGUUGUGAUGUUGGCUUUCUGAUAUCUGGAGUUAACAAACUGGGGACCAGUUGCAAGAAUGCAUGACCCCUCCUUGUAUCUCCUCCGACUCUCCUCCAGUUAAGUGACAACAAACUGCUUAACUGCUGUGAAGAGAGGUGGGGAAUUUGCUGGAACUCUUGAGAAACGAGUACAUUCUCCCAAGUCUUGGACCCAGUCUCUUUAAAUGCAGUUAACAAGGCCAACGUUGCGUCUACAGUGGACCACAGAUGCAUCCUUGGAAUCAAUCUCAGGACCUGUCUCCAUAACUGACCACACCUUGCAAGGAUGCUUUAUCAAAUAUAUGAAUGAAUUGGGGGUGGGGCGAGGAGGAAGGAAAUCUCUAUGCCUUGUGCUUCGUGGGAAAUAGUCCUGGUUGAGGUAAAACGCUAUUCCAUGUGGUCAGUUUGGGCAAUUAAUUGGAGGACCUUCUCGUAAGGAAGGAGCGUGUGAAUUGUGGGGUGUCUCCAAUGGGGACAAGGUUGAGAAGUAUUAGCAUCUGUGGUUGCUGCCAGCCUUUGUUUGUAUCAUUGAGGGUCUGCUGCAUUUGCCCUGUGGGUUUCUAUGUCCGAUUAAUGGCUUCCGAGUCUUCAAAUUGUGGUUCUGUGAUGCACUGUACAACGUGAGCACAACAGAGUCAUGUUAUGCCACUUACAAGGCCAUUAUGCAGUGUCUGUAGAAUUUGCACAGCGUUAUAAUAAAAGGUGUACCAUUUUGGAUUGUAAUGGACGUUAAUGCCAAGUUGGCAUCUGGGUUAUGGAAGUUCGACAUGCCAGUAUUAUUCUCUGGUGCCUCAGUCACGCUGCUGAAAUCAACAAACAGAGCUUGUGCCCUCUGAAGUUCCUCCAAAUUUCCUGAUGUGUUUGCCUAACAAAAACUCCUCUGGAGAGAAAUGUGGGUCGUUCGGGGUUGUGAGGUUUUGACUGUGAUGCUUUGCUUACCUUAAUGUAAACAAGGCACAGUCCAUUUAAGCAAAACUGUAAAAGUUCUGCUACCCAUACUAAGCUGGUCCCAGUCAGUAGGCUAACCAACUAGGUUGUUGGGGUUUUGGGGGGAAAUUUAAACAAAUUUUCUCCCUCAGAAAAUUAAAAAAACUUGUUACCUCUUCUGUUAUGGCUUCGGGUACAUGCAGAAAACAGUUCUGCCACAUAUCCGGCACCUGGUCCAUGGCAUUAAUCUUCUUAUCAUUUGAGAGGAAGACAAGGUAGAUAUAGAAGUCUGUUCACACAUUGUUCUAAACUAGAAAGGCAACACAACACUCUCCUUCUUGCCUUGUCUCCUCCUUCAUGACUGGGAAGAGGAGUUUGGAAGCUUUUGCUUUUGGUUAACCAUGGUUGGUUAUGCCGCCUGGAGCAACAAACCUUGGCUAAUACUGCUCAAUUUGUUGUUGUGUUAUGCAUUUAGUACUUUUAUACUGUGAAGCAUCCUGUGAUCUUUGGAUGAAGGGCGGUACAUCUAUUUAAUAACUCAUAACGAUCAUUUCAAAAGAGCCAAUGUCAAACUGGUUUAUGAAGCUGGCUUAGUGAAACUAAACAAUAGGUAGUGUCAGCCACAUAGUAGAGUCCAGAAGAUGCCCCAAACUAAAAGUGAUAGCAAAAGCUUCUGACUGCUCAGGAGAGGGAGAUCGUGUGAAGUCAAGGCUUGUUGUAGUUUAUGCAUGUCACACUAAACCAUGGUUUAGCAUGACAUGCAAAUAGGCCACUGUGUGUGUGUGUGUGUGUGUGUGUGUGUGUGUGUGUGCAACCACUUCGUAAACCAUGGUUAUUAACACUCUUGGUCUUGCUGUGCCUAUUUGUUGUCCUCAUCAGCAGCUGAUUUUUGGGAGUGGCCCAUUACCAUGUGUUUGGUUUUUGCUUCCCAUUUCUCCGAAGGCUAUAUCUCUUUUGCCCACCUCCCCAUCAUUACUGACUCUUAAUGACCUUGUGAACAGGGUAAUUAAAAUACAGUGCCCCACCACCACCAUUUCCCCCUUUCACCAUGGUGGAGAGAAUUGAUUCAAAAACAGAUUCCUGUUAUGGUAUAAAUACACUGUGAGAAUAAAAACAAUAUAAGUGCUGCUUAGCAAUAAAUGUAGGACACGUCUUAUGAUGGUUUUGCCCAGGCAAAGCAGAUUGCUUGUCAUACAUGUUGGAACUACUGUACAUGUUAUUUUGCUGCUGCUUCUUUUUUAAUUAAAACAAAAAAACUUCUUUGUCUUGCUGUUUAGAAUAUUGUUGUUGUCAUGGCCUUGUUAAAAUGCCUUUUCUUUUUGUAUCCAUGUUGACAUGUCCGUCUCCAUGCACAAGGACACUUUGGAAGGGAAGGGAAGGGAAGUUUUCUAGUCACUGAGAUGGAAAAAACACACCUUCCACCUGCAAAAAUUAGUCCAAUACCCUGCAAUGCAGGAAUCUUUUGCCCAAAGUGGGGCUUGAACCCACGACACUCUGAGAUUAAAAGUUUCAUGCUGUACCGGCUGAGCUAUCCCACAGUGUAUUCCAAGAGUGAAAGCCGGGCUCAUGAGAGCCCUGCUCUUGCUCAUUGUUGAAAAUCUGCAGCAAGGGGGAAACUGCGAUACUUUAAGAAGUGUCAUAAUACAGAGGGCCUUCCUAAGUUAGGAAACUAGUAUUUGAGCGGUCUCCUAGUCAGUGGUGGAUGGUCCCCAUUGGGAAUGGUGGGGCAGAAAGCAACAGUAGACUGCCUGAACAAAUGACAGAGAGCCACAGCCAAUGACCGGCCAAGCCAAAUAAUUAAGCUUUUAUCCCCAGUCCUAGAAGGGCAAAACAGAGACUAAGGAGGAGGCAUCUAGGGUCACCUCCUGGACUGGUAGUAAGAAAGAAGGGAGGCAGUGGGGGCAGACUGAGAGUGGUGAGGCAGUGCCCCUUUGCAUAAUAGAUCAGCCUCCCCUGCUCCUAUAAAUCAAGACUCAAUGAAAGUCGCUGUGACUCUCACUUGCAUCCUUUGGAAGUCAAAUCUAAAUAAAAUAUCUAGGACUACAGUUCCCAUCAUUCCUGACCACUAGUCUGCUAGCUGGGAGUGAUGGGAGUUGUAGUCCAAAAAAAAUAAAUGGAUUAAGACCCAAGAUGGGAAACCCUGAUGUAGGACUUGGGUCUUGUAACAAACAGCAGAUAAAGCAACUAAUUUGUGUCUGGGGUGUGCCACUUCAGAUUGCAGAAUGGCGAUCACAUGACUAAUUAUUCCUCCAGAUUCCUUUUGCAGUCAUACCUCGGGUUACGAACACUGCGGGUUGCGGACCGCGCCAAACCUGUAAGUACCGGAACAGGUUACUUCCAGGUUUCGGCGCUUGCGCAUGCACAGAAACACCACAUCGCAUCACGCGCGUGCGCAGACGUGGUUAUUCAGGUUGCAAACGCUGUGGGUUGCGAAUGUGCCUCCCGCACAGAUCACGUUCGCAACCCGAGGUAUGACUGUACAUAGAAAACUGGAUUUGGGAAAGCAGUCAUUCUUUCUUUCUGAGAUACUAGUUUCUUGUGUGCAUUUUUAAACAAAUCCUGCACUCUGAAGUGGUAUUGCCUAGAGGUGUGGUGAACCUUUGGCCUUGUAGAUCAGUGUUUCCCAAACUUGGGUCUCCAGCUGUGUUUGGACUACAAUUCCCACCAUUCUUGACCACUGGUCCUGCUAGCUAGGGAUGAUGGGAGGAGUUGUAGUCCAAAAACAGCUCGAGACCCAAGUUUGGGAAACAUUGCUCUAGAAUGCUGCUGAACUGCAUCUCCCAUCAGCCCCAGCAAAGCACAACCAAUAGCCAGGGAUGAUGGGAAUUGUAGUUCAGGAACAUCUGAGGGGCCAAAAGUUCCCCACACCUGGUCUGGAGCCAGGUGGAUUACUACAUAUCUUUUUUGUGAGAAGAAAGAUUUCAGAAGCCAUAAUCCCCUCAGAAAUGUUAAACCCCUGUCUAGUGUUCUUUUUUGUGGCCUCCAGAGCCUUGCAGCAGAUUAAUCUUUCAGGAGAUACCACUUCUCCUAAUUGAGAGCAUCUGGUUAAGUCAUUGUCAGAACAGGAUACUGGCCUAGAAGGGCCUCUGGGCUGAUCCAGCAGAACUCUUCUUACGUUUAUCAGGAAUAGGCCUGGUUGAUUGCAAUGUGCGAAUGGGGCCGGCUCUACCAUUAGGCAGUGUGAGGCAACAAAUGCUGGGAGACAGGGAACCACAGGGAGGUGUUGAAGGACAGAGUGCUGUGUGCCCUUCAAUCUGCCCUGUGCCCUCAAGAGUUAGCCUGCUUCCCUCAGGUGGGGUGGAGGAUAGUGCCUCACCACAAGUGUUAAAUUGAAGAUUAGAUUGCCAGCCUGGUCAGCUUUUGUAUAUGGAAAGGGAGGAAGGACCAUCUUGUCUUUUGCCUCAGGCAGCAAAAUGUCUUGGGCCGGCCACUGGGUAGAAUUCGUUUUACUUUGAACAACCACAGAAAUGGCUUUGGUUUUUUUGUAUUCCUGAAAGGAAUUGUAUUGUGUGCAACUGUAUUGUGUGCAAAUCCUGAGGGAAAUGUCUUUCAGCUGGAGACAACUUGUCUAGUCAGUCUUGGAAUCUGGAAGCUUUCACCUUUCCUUUGUUUUAAAAAAUUGCACUGAUUUCUGCAGUCGGAUAACUUUCUGUGUUAUAAAAUAAACCAUCUUCUGCUCGCUGUUUCAUGGCUUUGUUUUGCUGUCUCUGGUAAUCCUUCAUGCUGCUUUGCUAUUUCAGUGGGUUUGCAGUCUUAUUAUUUAUUUUCCUAUUUAUUUAUUUAAAAGGCACCUGUAGCACUUUUCAGAGAAGACCGCCUCUCAAAGAAAGCAGCUUACAAUCAAGUAAAAUAUUUAACAAUAAAACAUUUAAAACACUUCAAAUAUCCAAGUACAUCUAAAAAAAACCCCAAACCAGCAUCUUAAUUAACCUGCCAAGUCAUUGCAAAGAAAUUAGUAUUUAAAGUCUGUUUAAGAAAGACCAGAGAAGGGGUUUGCCUCCUUAUCACUUGGAAUUGCAUUCCAUAAUGGGGUGUACCUGCCAGCCUAAUAAGUUUUCCUAUUAAGAGGGAAACAUUUUCAGAGAAUUGUAGUUGGAAAGGACUCCCAAGGGAAUGCAGGAAUCAUAGUUAAAUAAUCCCUGACAGAUGGCCAUCCAAACUCUGUUUAAGAACUCCAAUGAAGGCAAGUCCACCACCUUCUGAGGCAAUCCAUUCCGCUGUCAAACAGCUCUUGCCAUCAGAAAAUGCUUCCUAAUGUUUAUAGUCAGUAUCUCCUUUCUUGUAAUUUGAAUCCAUUGGUUUGGGUCCUACCCUCUGGAGCAGCAGAAAACAAGCUCACUCCAUCUUCCACAUGACAAGCCUUUUCCAUAGUCACUUGUGCAUUGAAGAAAAUGUUCAUGUCUACUAAGGGCUGGUAAUACUUUGCAGGGAGCGGGUGGCGCUGUGGACUAAACCACUGAGCCUCUUGGGCUUGCUGAUCGGAAGGUCGCCGGUUCGAAUCCGUGCGAUGGGGUGAGCUCCCAUUGCUCUGUAUCAACUUCUGCCAACAUAGCAGUUUGCAAGCAUGCCGGUGCAAGUAGAUAAAUAGGGACCACUGCAGCGGGAAGGUAAACAGCGUUUCUGUGUGCUCUGGCUUCCGUGACAGUGUCCUGUUGUGCCAGAAGCAGUUUAGUCAUGCCGGUCACAUGACUCGGAAAGCUGUCUGUGGACAAACGCCAGCUCCCUUGGCCUGAAGUGAGAUGAGCGUCUCUGGUUUUUCCCAUUCUGUUGUUUUCCUCUAUUUCUUUGCAUUUCUCGUUUAAAAAGGCCCUCUUGUCUCUCCUUGCAAUUUUUUUAGAAAUCUGCAUUCAAUUUCCUGUAUCUUUCACUAUCUCCCUCACAUUUUGCUUGCCUUCUCUCCCCCGCUAUUUGUAAGGCCUCGUUGGACAGCCACUUUGCUUUCUUGCAUUUCCUUUUCAUUGGGAUGGUUUUCAUUGCUGCCUCCUGUAUAAUGUUACGAGCCUCCAUCCAUAGUUCUUCAGGCACUCUGUCCACCAAAUCUAAAUCCUUAAACCUGUUCCUCACUUCCACUGUGUAUUCAUAAGGGAUUUGAUUUAGAUUGUGUCUUACUGGCCCAGUGGUUUUUCUUCAGUUUAAGCUGGACUUUUGCUAUAAGAAGCUGAUGAUCUCAGCCACAGUCAGCUCCAGGUCUUGUUUUUACUGACUGUAUAGAGCUUCACAAGUCUACACAUCCUUUAUAUACAAUGCUACUCCUCCCUUCCUGUUUGGUCUAUUCCUUUUGAACAGGUUAUAUCCCUCAAUUCCUAUAUUCCAGUCACAAGUCUCUUUUUUUAAAAAAAAUAAUUUUUAUUAACAGGCCAAUCACAUCACAUUGUCCAUAUCACAUUGAUUCCAAAUUAUACAGCCAAAUUUUAAAUUUUGUUGGGGGUACCCAUACAUCAAGCUCAGCUCGAGUCCAAAACAGCAUCACUUAUCUUACUGCUUUCAUUAGACAGUUCUGUCCAGUUUGAUCCGGAUAGUCCUUUAUUACUUCCUUUCUCUUCUUGUUGUUAUCAUAAAUUCCUUUCUUUGCGAUCUCUGAUGAUUUUCACAAGCAGGUUAAAAGCUGGCAUUCUAUGUGGAUUUUGUACUCUUCCAAAAAUCAUAUCGAUCCGGGACAGCCUCUGUACAACGCUUCCAUAAACAAAAUUAAUCUCCGAUCUGUCCUUUAUUUUUCUCAGGCUUACCAAAUAAAUCAAAUGAGUCUGGGGGUUCUGUCAGGUCAAACUUACAUUCCAGCAUUCCUUCUCAUUCAAACAAUCCUGAUUCUCCUCCCCCAGUCCUUCUUCCUCCGGCAACCUUGUCAUGGCAAGACGCCAUUUUUUAACUGCGUCAUAAUUUUUUUCCUCUUUUCUCACCGUUCUCCAGUCUUCUUUUCUGUUAUACUCUGUCCCACAUAGUUCUUAAAAUCCUGCCUGUGAUUCAUAGAAACGUGACGAUCUUGUUUCUAUCUGGGGUGAAGGGUUAUUAAUGUCACAUCAUGCAGAGAAAAAAAGAGUUUUUUCCUCCACCCCCCCUUCGUUCCAAACAUACAGUCUCCUUGUGGUAAUUCAUCAGAAGAUUUACUUAUCUGUCCGUCACUCCUGGUCGCAGAGAUCCAUUAAUCAGCAGUCUUAUCGUCGAGCUUUACUUGAUGUAUGUGCUUUCAGCUUCAUUUCCAAACGUAUGUUUCCAAUUAUAAUUCCAAGCUGCAGCAACCAGCACGCGCUGAUUGGAAUCGGCGUCAGGAAGAUCUGACUUCACCGAGGGCCUGUGCCAAGUGUUCAGCACCCCCAUCACUCGUUUCAGGGGGUGCAUUGUGAACACCGCUGGCAGGACAGUACUCCCCCACAUCCUGGGGGAGUUUAGGAAGGCUGCAUACUUCCCAUAGCAGCCCCUUAGUACCUCGUAUGGGUCAGAGAGAUGUUAUUGUCGGCCAUCUUCCAACGCGCCACCUGGUGGCCCCCCCUCCAGUCACAAGUCUCAUCCCACCUGGUUUCAGUAAUGCCUACCGGGUCAUAUGUGCCAUCCUGUAUUAAAAGCUUCAGUUCAUCUUGUUUGUUUCUCCAUAGACAGCCAGAGAUUAUACUGGGCUUGCUGGACAAAUAUCGUCUCAAUAAGGGACUCCUGCUAAGCUGCUGAGGAACCUCAGAAUUCUGCUUGAAAACCACGUUGCCAUGUCAACACCUGCUUAUUUAAAGCCUUUGUAUGCUGCCUCUCUGCCACUGGGGAUCUCCUCCAGAGGAAGCUAACAACCAUAUUAAAAUGCAGAAGGCCAAGUAUUUAAGAAGCUGCAGGGGAAAAAAGAAAUCAAUUUAUGAGGUGCUUAAUUAAAAAACUUCUCUAGGGACUAGAAGAUAGAUGCUGCGUCACAAGAAACGCUAAUUUCCCCAUGUAUUUUGACCCAACAUUCGUUACUGAGACAACUGCAUUUUUGUUAACUGGAGUGACAGAUGGACAAGCAGUGCUGGAGCCAAGCAGGCUCCCCUCAGAAAGAAGUACGAAGGCGAAGGUACUACAACCAAGAAGGCCCUGUUGUGUAUGAACAUCUGCUGCACUUUGGAUAUCAUAUUGCUGGGCUAAUCUCAGCUGGGAAAAAGUGGCAGCACUAGAGGGAUAUAUUUGGGAAAGGAGAAGUUCUGCCUACAGGAGCAAAUUCUGUUUUGCAUGCAUGAGCUGUUGGGGAAUGGUGAUCUGUUCCCAUUAUCGCCAGAAAGAGAGGACAGAUUUGCAUGACAUUUGGAUAUGCUAAUUUAUAUGCAUAGGUGCAAAUUCAGAAAUAAUUACUAUAGCUGAGAUAAAGGUAAAGGUACCCCUGACCGUUAGGUCCAGUCGCGGACAACUCUGGGGUUGCGGCGCUCAUCUGUCUCUGUAGGCCGAGGGAGCUGGCAUUUCUCUGCAGACAGCUUGUGGGUCAUGUGGCCAGCAUGACUAAGCCACUUCUGGCAAGCCAGAGCAGUGGACGGAAAUGCCGUUUACCUUCCCGCCAGAGUGGUACCUAUUUAUCUACUUGCACUUUUGAACUGCUAGGGGGGCAGGAGCUGGGACCAAACAAUGGGAGCUCACCUUGUUGUGGGGAUUCGAACUGCUGACCUUCUGAUCGGCAAGUCCUAGGCUCUGUGGUUUAGACCACAGCGCCACCCGCAUCCCUAUAGCUGAGAGAGGGAUACAAUAGAUCUCACUGUAGCUGUGGGAGGACUGUGACCAGGGGAUUUCGUUGCUUUCCCAGUCUGCUAGUUGCAAACAGGCGAUUUCAUGGCCAGUGUUCUCCUUGCUUAGGGGUGUUCACACAUUACACCCAAUAAGUGCACCAUCUGGGUAGCUGUGUACACAAAUAGUUGAGUGGUAUACUCAUACGGUUAUUAACAUUUAGCAUCCCCUAACUGUACAGUCUAUGUACCGGGGUGUGCAGUAGUUGAACUGUACAAAUCAACAAGUGUACACUCUUCCCCACAAACACUUGUACAUGUGUAGUGACAGCUUGUACCUGUGUUCAGGCUAAUGUGUGAACAUGCCUAUUUUUAUUUUAUUUUAUUUUAAUUUCUUUAUCUCCCUUCAUCCAUGGCAGUUUACAAAACAGUAAGUUCUCUCUCUCUCCCCACCCCCAUAUUUAUUCAUUAUCUUGUUAUCUUUAAAACAGAUUUGGAGAGGACAGUCCUUCAGACUGAGGACUCUUUCUUUUUUUUUUUAAAUAAAUUUUUACUGGUUUUCCAUACAAUUAUACAUUUUUAUCCAAAUUUCUACAAAUUGUCUCUUUUUGAACUUCCUUCAGCGUCUCUGAGAAUCAUCCAUAUUUUAUCUUUAAUUACACAUUCCCUUCUUUUGUAUUGACAGAAAGACUGUUCUAUGUAAUAUAGGCCACAUGGUGACUACCAAGCACUAAUUAUUUUUUGGUGUGGUGCCUUAACUAGUAUAUCCCCAAGUCUAUUUGUAUGAUGCCUUUCCUAAUAUAUUUCUUUAGAGACAGGGGUGGGGGACAAAACAAAUUGUCAGAAGCCUUUGGUGGGCUUUAAUGUGUAGGUGACUUUUUGGACCCCUCUCCUCCUUGGUCACAAAGCAGCCUAGAGAAGAGUUUCUCUCACUCUCUUAUAACACCAUACCCUCCAACAUCCCUCUGGUGAAAAUUGGGACAUUUUGAUCUGGGGAAUGCAAGGUGUUCCUGGCUGGGGGGAAAGCGUGUGUUUGUGUGUGGGGGGUGGGAGGAAAUACACAUGUGUGCACUCUGUACAUGCUCAGAGAUGCUACUGUCUCUUCAUUACUUCGCAUGUUACCAGAUGAGACCCUGGCACUGGGUUCCAGUCCUCUGAAGGAGCGUAUCCACCCCCAUUGUUCUGACCAGACACUGAGGUCCAGCUCCGAGGGCCUUCUGGCAGUUCCCUCACUGUGAGAAGCCAAGUUACAGGGAACCAGGCAGAGGGCCUUCUCAGUAGUGGCGCCCACCCUGUGGAACGCCCUCCCACCAGAUGUCAAAGAGAACAACUACCAGACGUCUGAAGGCAGCCCUGUAUAGGGAAGCUUUUAAAGUUAGAUGCAUUACUGUAUUAUAAUAUUUUGUUGGAAGCCGCCCAGAGUGGCUGGGAAGCCCAGCCAGAUGGGCAGGGUAUAAAUAAUAAAUUAUUAUUAUUAUUAUUCCCCCCCCCCCCAUGCUCUUCCCCAUCCUGUUAUCUGCUCAAGACUCACCCGCUGCUGCUUCUGGCUCCAAUCUGAACUGCGGCUCUUUUAUAUCCAUGUCCCCUGCCUCUGCGUGUCUGGUUCCAGCUCCCAUUGGUGCCCUGGCAAAUGACAUCAUCACGCUGAGCCACCAAGCUCAGAGCCGGCCGCCAUGUUGUGAGGGGCAGAGAGGCAGGAUCCAUGAGGAUUGGAACCGAAGUACCCACCUUGGAGAGUCCAGCCCACUGUGUGGAUGGCAGGUGAGCCUCAGGGUCUGUGUAGCCUCUACAAUCCGAUGCCUGCUCUGUCACUUGCUGGGGUUGUGAAGGGGGAACAAAGCCUUGAAACUGGGGUGCCCUGGUUUCAAGUCAGGAGCCAUGGUUGUCAGGAGUUCAGCCUACACUCGAGUAGGACCCUGGCAGAGACACAUGCCCGACUGGCAUGUUCCCUCUCUCCUGGUCGAUCAGGAACUUCAUAAGCUUUCUUCAGCCCAAACAUCACAGUGACCGAUGCCAACAGACACCAGCACACUUAGGGAUCCGCAGAGUUUGCGCACCUUGUGUGGCAGACCUCAGCAACUCAGCAUUUUGGCUAAUCAACUUUAUUUACAUAUAAACACACACGGAGCGCUGCAACAUGGCUCCCUCUCUCUCUAGCAUCAGACAGCAGAGAGAAAAGAACAAAGAACAAUAGUCCCACUUUACGGAACACAGUACAGUGAUACCUCAGGUUAAGAACUUAAUUCGUUCCGGAGGUCUGUUCUUAACCUGAAACUGUUCUUAACCUGAAGCACCACUUUAGCUAAUGGGGCCUCCUGCCGCCGCUGCACGAUUUCUGUUCUCAUCCUGAANNNNNNNNNNNNNNNNNNNNNNNNNNNNNNNNNNNNNNNNNNNNNNNNNNNNNNNNNNNNNNNNNNNNNNNNNNNNNNNNNNNNNNNNNNNNNNNNNNNNUUAUUUUAUUAUUUUAAAUAAUUUUUAUUAAGGUUUUAAACAAAGAAAAAGAAAAACAACACACACAAAAAAACAAUACAAAAUUUAACAAUAAAAACACAAAACAUAACAAUUAAAAACAAACUCUCUUUUCCAUUCCCAAUUUUAAAUUACUUAUUUUCUGGACUUCCUCAUACCUCCCUCUUUUGUAUUCCAAUCUGCAUUAUUUGUCCAGCAGUUUCUUUUCCACUUUUUAAACCCAAUCUUUAAUUUAAUAGAAUAUUAAAAUAUAUAACUUCAACUUUUUUAAACAUAAUCCUUGUUCUUAAUGUCAUAUACCUUUAAAUUUUUCCCUUUUAUUAUUAAAUUUCCAUUUCUUUAAACAUCUUUAAUCUUGAUCUUUAAUCUUAAUCUAUCCUUAACUUUAACCUGUACAGCUGGAAACCACUUAUUUUCAAUCCAACAUCACUCUAACAUUCCUUAAUUUUGCAGUGUUUCUGAAGAUAGUCUUUGAAUUUCUUCCAGUCUUCCUCCAUCGACUCUUCUCCCUGGUCACGGAUUCUGCCAGUCAUUUCCGCCAAUUCCAUAUAGUCCAUAAGUUUCAUCUGCCAUUCCUCCAGCGUGGGAAGUUCUUGUGUCUUCCAAUACUUUGCGAUGAGUAUUCUUGCUGCUGUUGUUGCAUACAUAAAGAAAGUUCUAUCCUUUUAUAACACCAAUUUGCCCACUAUGCCCAGGAGAAAGGCCUCUGGUUUCUUGGGGAAGGUAUACUUAAAUACCUUUUUUAAUUCAUUAUAUAUCAUUUCCCAGAAAGCCUUAAUCUUUGGGCACGUCCACCAAAGGUGAAAAAUGUACCUUCAGUUUCUUUACAUUUCCAACAUUUGUUAUCGGGCAAGUGAUAAAUUUUCGCAAGCUUGACUGGGGUUAUGUACCACCUGUAUAUCAUUUUCAUAAUAUUCUCUCUUAAGGCAUUACAUGCCGUAAAUUUCAUACCAGUGGUCCAUAACUGUUCCCAGUCAGCAAACAUAAUGUUAUGUCCUACGUCCUGUGCCCAUUUAAUCAUAGCCGAUUUUACCGUUUCAUCUUGAGUAUUCCAUUUCAGCAGCAAGUUAUACAUUCUUGACAGAUUCUUAGUAUUGGGUUCUAACAAUUCUGUUUCUAAUUUUGAUUUUUCCACCUGGAAGCCAAUUUUCCUGUCUAAUUUAAAUGCCUCCAUUAUUUGAUAAUAAUGAAGCCAGUCUCGCACUUUGUUUUUAGUUUUUCAAAACUCUGCAAUUUCAGUCUAUCUCCGUCUUGUUCCAAAAUUUCCCAAUAUUUCGGCCAUUUGACCUCCAUAUUGACCCUUUUCAAGGCUUUCGCUUCCAUUGGUGACAGCCACCUUGGGGUUUUAUUUUCUAGCAAAUCCUUAUAUCUUAUCCAAACAUUAAAUAGCGCUUUCCUGACAAUGUGGUUUUUAAAUGCUUUGUGUGCUUUGACCUUAUCAUACCAUAAAUAUGCAUGCCAUCCAAAUACAUUAUUGAAACCUUCCAAAUCCAAAAUGUCAGUGUUUUCAAGAAGUAGCCAUUCUUUCAACCAGCAAAAAGCUGCUGAUUCAUAAUAAAGUUUAAGGUCUGGCAGGGCAAAUCCACCUCUUUCCUUUGCAUCUGUUAGUAUUUUAAAUUUUAUUCUAGGUUUCUUGCCCUGCCAGACAAAUUUAGAAAUAUCUUUCUGCCACCUCUUGAAACAGUCCAUUUUGUCCACAAUCUGCAAAGUUUGAAACAAAAACAACAUUCUAGGCAAUACAUUCAUUUUUAUCGCAGCAAUACGGCCUAGCAGUGAAAGCUUCAAGUUUGACCAAAUUUCUAAAUCUUUUUCACUUCUGACCAACAUUUUUCAUAAUUAUCUUUAAAUAAAUUCCCAUUUUUGCUGUCAUGUUAAUCCCCAGGUAUUUAACUUUCUUAACCACUGUUAACCCUGUCUCAUUCUGAAACCUCUCUCUUUCAAACGGUGUUAAAUUUUUCUCUAAAACCUUGGUUUUUGAUUUGUUCAAUUUAAAUCCUGCCACUUGACCAAAUUCUUGAAUCAGUUCUAAAACCCUUUUUGUACUAGAUUCUGGCUCCUGUAACGUCAAUACUAAGUCAUCUGCAAAUGCUCUCAAUUUAUAGUGUUUAGUUCCGACCUGUAUACCUUUAACCAUCUGGUCCCUUCUAAUCAUAUUCAGCAACACCUCCAGGACCGAAAUAAAAAGAAGAGGGGAAAUUGGGCAACCUUGUCGUGUCCCUUUUUCAAUUUUAAGUUCUUCCGUCACAACGUUAUUUACAAUUAGUUUAGCCUUUUGUUCUGAAUAAAUUGCACUUAUACCAUUCUCAAAACCUUGGCCUACCCCCAUACCCUGAAGAUUCUUCUUCAUAAAAUUCCAAGAAAUAUUGUCAAAGGCUUUCUCCGCGUCUACGAAUAUCAACACUGCUUUAGUGUUUAUAUUCACUUCUAGUUUUUCCAAAAUAUCAAUUAUAUUCCUCAGAUUAUCAGACAAGUGUCUUCCUGGGAGAAAGCCCGCUUGGUCUUUAUGAAUCUCUUCCAACAGCACUUUUUAAAUCUCUUCGCCAAAAUAUCUGCAAAAAUUUUGUAAUCCACAUUAAGUAAUGAUAUUGGGCGGUAGUUCUUUAGUUGUGUCUUUUCAGCCUCUGUUUUUGGUACAAGUGUAAUAUAUGCUUCUUUCCACGACUCUGGUGCCCUCCUCCCCUCCAUUAUUUCGUUGCAGACCUCUUUCAAUGGUUGAAUUAGCCAUUCUUUUAAAGAUCUGUAGUAUCUAGAGGUCAAGCCGUCUGGGCCUGGAGAUUUACCCAGUUGCAUGUUUUGAAUGGCACCUUCUAUUUCCUGUUCCGUUAUUCUGUCAUUCAAAAUUAGUCUCUUUUCUUGAGAUAUUUUUUGUAAUCCAUUUGUUUUCAAAAAUUGGUCUAAAUCUGUUUCUUUCACAGGCCCUUGGGUGUAUAGUCUUUUAAAAUACUUCUGGAAACAACUUCUAAUCUCUGCAGGGUUCUGUAUAUUCCUUCCAUCCACUUCUAAAUUCGUAAUCGUAUUUAAUUUUUGUCUCUUUUUCAUUUGCCAUGCCAACAAUUUACCACAUUUAUUAGCCGAUUCAAAAGUCUUUUGUCUCAUUUGUUUAAUUUUCCAUUCUAUUUCCUGAUUCAUUAUUUUCAUAUAUUGUACUUGAUAUAACUUUAACUCUCUCAAAAUCUCUUGAGAUUUGGGAUUUACUCGCAAUCUUUUUUCACAUUCAUUCAUUUUAUUCAUAAUUUUAUCCUUCUUCUCAUUUUGAGCUCUUUUCUUUAUCGCGUUCUGUUGUAUUAAGAACCCUCUCAUAACAGCUUUACUUGCAUCCCAGAUUACUCUUUUCUCCACGUUGGAACUAAGAUUUAUCUCAAAGUAGUCUCUUAGAGUUUUUUGGGCCUUCUUAAGAAAUUCUUCAUCUCUAAAUAAGGUGUCAUUCAUCUUCCAUCUGAAGGAGCCAGUUGGCAUUAGUCUCAUUUCCAUCUUAACAGCGUUAUGGUCGGAGCAAAUUUUCGGGCAGAUUUCCACCUUUCUUGUCUUUGGUGCCAUUCCUCUAGUUAUCCAAAUUUGGUCAAUUCUUGUCCAAGUCAUUUUGGCUUCAGAAAAGAAAGUUCCCUCUUUUGCCAAGGGGUUUCUAAUUCUCCAAAUAUCCACUAAGUCCAAGUUGUCGGUCAUAGCAAAAAGUGUUUUCGGUAGUCUACCAUCUUUGGUGACUACCUGUCUUUGUGCCUUGUCCAUGUAAGUAGAUACCACUCCAUUCAUAUCUCCCAUCAAAAUUAUGUUGUAAUCCAUAUGGUCCAUCAAGGUCUCAUGCAACUUCUUAAAAAAUCAGAUUUCCCGUCAUUUGGUGCGUAAACUCCUACAAUCAAAAAUUUUUCUCCUUGUGUUUGAAUUUCAAUUGCCACAAAUCUUCCUUGGUCAUCCUUGAAAACAAAUUUUGGUGAUAAAUUGUCUUUUGCGUAGAUCACAACCCCUCUCUUUUUAACUUUAUCUGACGAAAUAAAUUCCUGACCAAGUCUUUUAUUUAUCAACAAUUUCCUGUGUAAUCUUGUUAUAUGUGUUUCUUGUAAACAAAUUAGGUCUAAUUGUUCCUUUUUAAUAUAUGAAAUACUGACUUCCUCUUCUGAGGGGAAUUCAAACCCCGGCAGUUCCAUGUUAAAAGUUGCAGGGCCAUGAUGUUAUUGUUUUAGUUCUCCUCCUACUGCACCUAGUGCCUGUUCCUCGUCCGUCGGUGGUAUCCCUUCUUUCGAACGGUCUUUUGGUUCCGGAAAUAGUUCUUUUUGUAAAUCUUCUCCGUGGUCCCUGUAAAAUUUAUCUUUAUCGUCUUCCGAUCUUAUUUUCCUCUUCUUUCCCUUGUAACUAAAGGACAGGCCUUGAGGAAGUUCCCACCUGAAAUUGAUGUUGUUCCUUCUCAGCAGGAUAACCAGGUCUUUGUAUUUUGAUCUGAGAUCCAGAAGAUAUUUCGGAAUAUCUUUAAAUAUUUCCACCCUUUUCCGAUAAAUUUCCAAUGUCUUCUUGAAAUGUAGGCCCAAAAUCUUAUCCCUCUCUUCUUUUGUUCUAAAGGUAAUCAGGCAGUCUCUCACCUUCUUCUCUCCUCUUCUCCCAAGUCUAAAAGCAUUUACUAUUGCGAAACUGUCUUUUGCCAGUUCUGGGUCCCAAAAGUCCAAAAAUUCCUGCGUGAGAAAUUCAGCUAAAUUGUCCUUUUCCACCUCUGGUACUGAUCUGACCCGAAGAUUCACUUGCUUCUCCCUCAAAUCUAUCAUAGACAGAGUUAGUUUAUGGUCUUCCAAUUGUUUAUGCAAUGUUGGUAAUUCCUCUUGAACCUCCUUAACAUCCGUAGCAGAAGUUGUAGCAAUUUCUUUAGCCUCUUCAGCAAUCUGGCGAAUUGAGGCCGAUUCCUCUAAUAAUUUCUGAAUAGUCUCUGUGUUAGUAUUUACUUUUUGGCCCAAAUUAUUUAUACUUGCUGUGUUCUGAUUAAUACUUAUUGUAUUUUGGUCAAUCUUAUCAGAAGCCUCUGCUACUUGUUGACUUAUUUUAUUCAAAGAUUCAUUAACUUUGGCCAAAACUUGGGCAAAGGCUUCUUCACUUGUCGAACUUUUUACCUUUGGUUGUGCCGAUGAGGCUAUUGUUGAGGUUCCAGAAGGGCCUGAGGCCGAAGCUCUCCUUUGUAAUCCUUCUUCUGUGCGAAUAUUCCUCCCCGAUCUUGUAGUCGAAGCAUCCGUCUUCUCUUUAUCUGCCAUUCCUUAGAUAAUUCUCAAGGUCAGACACGUAGUUAGAAUUGAACAGUGGAAAUUUCCUCCCAAGCAGUGUGAGAACUCCUCAAGCCUGCUACAGUUACAGUUAUAACAAGUUGCAACAGUUCCAAGUUCCACUAGGGGGACACUGUAACAGUCAUAAGAGUUCUUGGAUACUUUAAUUUCCUUUUUAAGCCCCCCUAGUUUGUUCAAAAGGAAAACAGUCUAUCACAAUUUUCAACUUAGGACCAGGAGAUAUACAUUCACAAAAUCUCUCCAAACUUUUAUUUCCAGUGCAGGACUAGCUGUCAAAAUAUAUUACCAGACAGUACCUCUCUUUCUUUCCUUGGAUCUGGAAAAUCCUUUCCCAGGAAAUCGAGUGAUGGUUUAAUCUCUUCUUUUCCACCCUUUAUAAAGAAAUCACCUCCAGAGAUCUCCCCCUUUUCCCCUCCACUUAUAGAGGGAAAAGUCCAGGUUAGAUGAUUGGAUUAAAGUCCGCUGAAACGUACUUUCCGAAUGCUUCCGCUUUCAAGUUCAAUGCUUUAAAUUUUUCUACAAUAAAGGAGGCUGACUUCCUUUUUAAACCUCCUUCCGUUUUCAGCCUAAUUUCCAAUUUAUACAGUUCCAAUUUGAGUAUAUCCUACUCACGGAUCGUUGAUUUCCAGGUCCGGAUUUUAAGGAAGAAAGGCAGCGCUCUCCGGUCAACAGCUUGCGACUUCACACCACGAAGGAGCAGACAGCCCACAGCACAGCGCUCUCCCCCGCUCCGAUUUCAAGCCCGUUUCUGGGCUUUUUGCCGGGUUGGGGGGGCGCCAAAUGUGCCCGCUGGGUCCCAGGUUCACAGGCUUCCCCCGCCUGUGAUUUUUAGGGGUCCCCCGCUGCGCCGAAGCGGGAUUCGACCCUAUUUUUCGUGGCGCUGAUUCCCUCUAACCGAGGAAAUCCGCCAUCGACCGCUGGCGCCGCCUCCGGAAGUCCCGGAGGUCUGUUCUUAACCUGAAACUGUUCUUAACCUGAAGCACCACUUUAGCUAAUGGGGCCUCCUGCCGCCGCUGCACGAUUUCUGUUCUCAUCCUGAAGCAAAGUUCUUAACGGGAGGUAAUAUUUCUGGGUGAGCAGAGUCUGUAACCUGAAGCGUAUGUAACCUGAAGCGUAUGUAACCUGAGGGACCACUGUAACACAAACAUCCUGUCUUCAUCACUUCCCGCUCUGUGGAGUCAAAACAUACCACGUCAUGUGAAAGACAACAAUCCUAUGACUGCAGUCACGGAGCAGGAAUUCUAACAGUGAUAGCUUUACCAGUUUCGGGAUCGUCCUGGCAAAACCAUGGCAGUUGAAGGGUAUGCAACAGUAGAACUCGUGAAGCUGGAUGUUGGCAGAUUCAGGACAGAGAAAUUACUUCAUGGUAAUCUAUGGAACUCUCUUCAGCAGGAAGCAAUGAUAGCCGCCAAUUUGGAUGGCUUUGAAAGGGAGCUGGAAAAUUCAUGGAGGAUAAUGCUACUAGCCAUAAUGUUUGUCUGUCAUGAUCAGAGGCAGUGAUGUUUCUAAAUAGCAGUUGCUGGUUACUUUCUUCUCUGAAUUGUAUUUUCGCAGUGUAUUUGGUUUAAUUUUGCAUCGAUGUUAGCUACAUUUGCCAUCGAUCUGAUGCAAAAGCAGAAUACAGUUCUUUGAAAGGAAACUAGGGAAAUGCAACACCAAACAUUCCCCCGCAACCCAAUUACUCAGUCUCUCGCACACAUACAAUACUGUGUCCUGUCAGUUCUCACAAAUAAACAGUGCUUUUCCCAAGAGUGGUGUUGCAAUGUUCCAUUUCCAUUGUAGAUUUAGUGGGUUUUAACUGCAAUUCCCAAUGUACUGGUUAAAUUAGCAAGGUGAAACUCCUUUAAUUUAGCUUGUUAUGCUUCCAAUGUGCAGGCUGUGAGCCUUCAUUUAUUUUUCCUUCCCUCCAAUUUAACCUCUAUUGAUUCUCCUCCCAGUUUUUAGGUAAUUAGAAAAGGUCUUAUUCCCCCUCCCCCACACGAAAUCUAAUUAUAGCAUGUUGUUUUUGCUAAGUAAACAGGCUCUAAAUCAUUCUAAUAAGAUAUUAGGCAAACAUAAUAAAAGCCCUUUUGCUAAUUAGGUUUAUUAGUGUCAGCAUUUAAAAAAAGCCUUUCUUGUCCUAAUGCAAACAAGAUAAAAGAGAUAAUCCUUCCAAUCAAAUUAGGAAAGGGAAAGCUUCAAAGUACAUCACUUCAUUAACCCCCCCCCAAAAAAAAUUCCAACAACAACUACCCCAAAAACAAAUAUUGGUCAAAGGACAGGGUGUCUUUGAUGUUCAGUUGUUGGCACUUCCCUGUGUUCUAGUCAUCGGAUUGUAAAGUAAUGAUGGGGAUGAUUCAGACCUCCCCCCCCAUCUUUAGCAUGAAUAGUGGAGUUUAGGCUAUAGGGCAGAAAUGGGCUUGCUGUUUGGAUUUCCUGUAGCUCUCGGCCUAAUUUCAGGCAGGUGAGGAAGAGGAGGAGGCAGUGGUGGACCCUGAGUCUCAAAUGUCAGUGGUGACCUGUGCAAUGCCAAAAUUCAGCGCCCCUCACCUCUCAUGCUCCAUUCUAGAUAAAAAUUGUGCUGCCCCAAUCUUCUUCUUCUUUGGCGAUCACUCAUAGCUGAGUAAGAUUGUCUUCCAUAAACACGGUUUUAACAGUGAGUCCGUAAGUGACUGUGGAGGCCAAUUUUGAAUCCACACGUCCUUCCACAGUGGGGACAUAGGUUUCCGGGAGGGAACUGAUCAUGGUGAGGGUUUGCCAAGCAUGUCUUCCUCUUAGCACGUUUCUCCCUUUCAUCCUGAGUUCGAACGUCUUCAAAGCCCAUGACACUUUUGGUAAAGGCUGUUUUCCAAUUGGAGCACUCGCAGGCCAGUGUUUCCCAGUUGUCAGUCUUUAUACAACUUUUUUUUUAGAUUUGCCUUGAGAGAAUCAUCAAACCACUUUUGUUGACCACCAGCAGUAUGCUUUCCAUUUUUAAGUUUGGAAUAGAGUAGUUGCUUUGGAAGACGAUCAUCAGGCAUCCACACAACAAGGACCAGUCCAAUGAAGUUGAUGUUGAAGAAUCAUUGCUUCAACACUGGUGAUCUUGGCUUCUUCCAGUUUGCUGGUAUUAGUUUGCCUGUCUUCCCACCGUUGAUGGAAUCUUUCGAGGAGUUGGUGAUGGCGUUUAUAAGUGGUGGUGUCUCCAUAGCACCCCCAAGGCUCUGCACUCGGUGCGACCAAACCAGUCAUGCUCCCCUAAAUCUGUCUCUGGAAGAAGAAUGGGGUGGCACACAAACACACACACACACACACACACACACACACACACACACGAGAGCACUCAGUUGCAGAGCAUGCAGAAGAUCUCAGGAUGAAUCCCUGGCAUCUCCAGGUAGGGUUGCCUGGAACCCAGGACAGUCAAAGACUAGACAAUCCUGAUCUAGGAGGUCCAACGACCUGACUUCCUAUGUUCCUAUGGAUGCUCCUGACCACCACCUGUGGGUAUGCAGCUCUCAACAGAAAAAAGAUCCCCCAAUUUUGCUGUAGAGCUGCAGGGGGGGGGUCACAACCUUUUUUUACCUCAUAAACAGAUGUGUAAACUGGUGCAUGUGUUACACAUAAACAGAUGUGUAAACUGUAGUUUGUUAAGGGUGCUGGGAAUUGUAGCUCUGGGAUGGGCAGUCCACAGAAUGCAAUGUAUGACGAGCUUGCAGCCAGUAUGAAGUCAGAAAACUGCAUCCUGUGACCAGAAGUCAGGGUACCUCUCUUAGAGAGCCUCAAGCCCUUUUUAUUCAUUGAAGUCUGCUCCUUUUCAUUUCAUAUCUUCCUGGCAACUUUUAAACUUUUGGCAGUCUCACCUCCAGUCACCCGGUGGCAGAAGAAUUUAAUUUCAGUCAAAAAAUGAAUGUGACUCAUAUAAGAAGCCGUAUCCUUUCAGUGAAUUUAAUUUGAUAAUAUAACUCGCCUCGCCGUUCUUGCCACCGAAGCAUUGUGCAUCAACUGGCAAUCUAGGCAGAUAAUAAAAACGGGGUCCAAGAGCGAAGGAAAUGAAACUGAACACAAUGCUGUUACAUUGGUAGCUUCGGGGUAGCAGAAACAGGGUCAGAAUUGGGCUCCUUCAUUUUGCACUCUGAAUAGGACAUUCCUGCGUACCUAUAAAUGGUGUUUUUUAUCUUCUGCAAAUGCACCGUUUGCUGAGUCAUGUUCAGCUGUGUUGUGGCAAAGGCUCCUGAUCUUAGUAGCUGGUUUCAUUGGGGACGGCCCUACCAUUGGACAAGGUGAGGUGGCAGCAGGAGCAUAGUGGCAAAUUCAAAAGCGCAGAGGCACUUCUUGACUGUCACCGCAACACUCCCUCUGAGCUUCUGCCCCCCUUUAAGGUUAUACAAACUUCUGGUUAGGGAUGCGCUGCAAUGCAGAUCGCCACGUGCUAUAUUUAAGUCGGAUCUGCUAUUUUCUGUACACAUGCAUGGGCAAAUGAUUCGGAGUGCUCUAAUAUCCUCUUUCAGAGUAACUUAGAUUUUUUAGCUAAUGGAAACAGCUGCAGGGAAUUGGUUAAAAUGAAGCUUUGUUGUAGAGCAGGAGCCCCAAUCUGCGGGCCCGCCAGAUGUUUUGGCCUACAACUCCCAUGAUCCCUAGCUAACAGGACCAGUGGUCAGGGAUGAUGGGAAUUGUAGUCAAAAACAUCUGGAGGGCCGAAGGUUGGGGAUGCCUGUUGUAGAGGUUUGAGUUUUGAAGUAUGGGUCACAUUUGCAUGUCACAAGUCAGGGUUUCAUGGCAGGCGCGAUGGCUAUGUUCUGCCUCCACUUGUGGAAUCAUGAGUGGGGAUUGUGUCUCAGAUAGGCAUCUGGUUAGCCAUUGUCAGAACAGGAUACUGGCCUAGAAGGGCCUCUGCCCUGAUCCAGCCGGACUCUUCUUACGUUUAUCAGGAAUAGGCCUGGUUGAUUGCAAUGUGCGAAUGGGGCCGGCUCUACCAUUAGGCAGUGUGAGGCAACAAAUGCUGGGAGACAGGGAACCACAGGGAGAUGUUGAAGGACAGAGUGCUGUGUGCCCUUCAGUCUGCCCCGUGCCCUCAAGAGUUAGCCUGCUUCCCUCAGGUGGGGUGGAGAAUACUGCCUCACCACAAGUGUUAAAUUGAAGAUUAGAUUGCCAGCCUGGUCAGCUUUUGUAUAUGGAAAGGGAGGAAGAACCAUCUUGUCUUUUGCCUCAGGCAGCAAAAUGUCUUGGGCUGGCC